rnacentral:snoRNA from 1 species
AUCCUGGUGAAGAUUCUCAGACCAUAGGAAAGUAUGAGAGACGGUAAACAACAGCUGCUUCUCUCCACUGCAAGUGUCCUCCUUCGGCCAUAACCUUUGUGGUUUGAUCUGGGCUGGAAUCUCCAUGUGCAGCUGGUUUGGUUCAGCUGUGUGCGUCAUUUUAAGCGGGUCUAGGGAU